GAUGAACGCUGGCGGCGUGCCUAAUACAUGCAAGUCGAGCGAACAGACGAGGAGCUUGCUCCUCUGACGUUAGCGGCGGACGGGUGAGUAACACGUGGAUAACCUACCUAUAAGACUUGGAUAACUUCGGGAAACCGGAGCUAAUACCGGAUAAUAUAUUGAACCGCAUGGUUCAAUAGUGAAAGACGGUUUUGCUGUCACUUAUAGAUGGAUCCGCGCCGCAUUAGCUAGUUGGUAAGGUAACGGCUUACCAAGGCAACGAUGCGUAGCCGACCUGAGAGGGUGAUCGGCCACACUGGAACUGAGACACGGUCCAGACUCCUACGGGAGGCAGCAGUAGGGAAUCUUCCGCAAUGGGCGAAAGCCUGACGGAGAAACGCCGCGUGAGUGAUGAAGGUCUUCGGAUCGUAAAACUCUGUUAUUAGGGAAGAACAAAUGUGUAAGUAACUAUGCACGUCUUGACGGUACCUAAUCAGAAAGCCACGGCUAACUACGUG
rnacentral:rRNA from 1 species